GUCUCAUUUUAUUUUCUACGCUUCUUUUCCGUUCUUUUUUGCAUACGCCGCACCGCACGCAUGGAUGCAGAGCGCGGCCCUGUGGGACGGCGCGUGGCCUAGUGGCGGUAGACCUUGCGCUUGCCGUCGCUCCAGAAAGCGUCCGACCAGGUGGAACCCUUCUUCUUGUCGUACUUCUUGCCGUGCUUGUACUUUUUCUUCUUGUCCUCCUCAUGGUCGUCCUCGUCGUCAUGAUCGUGGUCAUCUUCAUCCUCCUCGUCGUGCUCCUCCUUCUUGUACUUGUCCUCUUCCUCAUGGUCGUCCUCGUCAUCAUCCUCGUCGGCGUGCUUGUAGUGCUUCUUCUUCUUGUACUCCUUCUUCUUCUUGUUGUGCUCGUCGUGGUCCUCGCUGUCGUCCUUGUUGUCGAUCACCUUGUGGACGGCCUUGUAGACCAACUCCUUGAUCAGGCACUCGUCGACGACGGCGUCCUCGCCCUUGGGGCCGCGAGGUCCGCGCGGGCCGCACUCGCCCUGGGGACCCUGGGCGCCCUUGGGGCCGCGCGGGCCGGGGCAACCGGGCUCGCCCUGGUGGCCGCGCUCGCCCUUGUCGCCCUUUUCGCCCUUGGGGCCACGCUCGCCCUUCUCGCCCUUGGGGCCGCGCGGACCAGCACAGCCGUCCUUGCCCUUGGGACCCUUGGGGCCGCACUUGCCGCAGUCGCCCUUGGGGCCGCACUCGCCGUCCUUGCCCUUGGGGCCGCGCUCGCCCUUCUCGCCCUUGGGGCCACGCUCACCCUUGUCGCCCUUCUCGCCCUUGGGGCCGCGCGGGCCGUGGCAUCCAGGCUCACCCUUGGCGCCACGCUCACCCUUGUCGCCCUUUUCGCCCUUGGGGCCACGCGGGCCGGGACAUCCGUCCUUGCCGUCCUUGCCCUUGGGUCCCUUGGGGCCGCACGGGCCACACGGGCCGCACUUGCCGCAGUCGCCCUUGGGGCCGCACUCGCCGUCCCUGCCGUCCUUGCCCUUGGGACCGCGCUCGCCCUUGUCACCCUUCUCGCCCUUGGGGCCGCGCGGGCCGGCGCACCCGUCCUUGCCGUCUUUGCCCUUGGGGCCACGCUCGCCGGCGCACCCGUCCUUGCCGUCCUUGCCCUUGGGGCCGCGCUCGCCCUUGUCGCCCUUCUCGCCCUUGGGGCCACGCGGACCACACUUGCCGCAGUCGCCCUUGGGGCCGCACGGGCCGCACUUGCCGCAGUCACCCUUGGGGCCACGCGGGCCGGGCGGGCCGCGCACGGCGCACACCUUGAUGCACUUUUUCUCCGGGCACUUUUUGUAGUCGGUGCUCUCCGAGGACGAGGAGGACGAAGAGUCGUCCUCGUGGUGGUGGUGCUUCUUCUUGUAGUCCUUCUUGUGGUAGUAGGCGUCCUUGGCGUCCUCCUCAUCCUGGUCCUCCUCGGCGUCCUUGUAGGCGACGCUCCUGUCCUCCGAGUACCAGUCGUCGUCGCGCUUGUAGGCGGCGUGCUUCUUGUUGUAGUAGGCCAUGGCGAUGGUGCGGGAUGGAGGCACGUGUGAGAUGGUUGUGGUUGGUCGGUGAGGGGAUCGCUGUGACGCGCGUCUCUGGUGCGGGAGUGUGAGUGCUCG
rnacentral:lncRNA from 1 species